UAUAAAUCUUUUAUAUUAUUUCACCCUCUCAUCUUUUGCCUGCUUUCUCUCUCGACGCUUUCUCAGCACAGCAUAUCUCGACAUUCUCUCUCCCGGCGACAUCUCUCUCCACCUCUUUGCUAACCAUCUCUGAGUUCAUAACAUUAGGACCACCCUUCAAGCUUCAUUCAGUUGGAGAUCCGGCUCACAUACGUUCGAUUGGAGACCCAAUUGUAAAAUACAAUUUAAAGAAUCAAUUUCACGACCCAACUUGAAGAAACCCAGCUCAUGAGGAAACAGAGUCUGAUUUAGGGGUUUAGGGUUCAAUUGGUUUGAUUUUGCGUUUCAAGGUUCGAUUGGUUAGACUGGGUUUUAGGGAUUGAUUCUUUAUAGUUUUCUUCAAGAUUAAAAAAGAUCUAUUUUUGCUAGCUUAUUUUGGCGGUUCAAUAGAGGGAGCACCAGAUGUGGUAAUUUGGUUGUAGACUUGCAAGGUAAACUUAAUUCUUUGGACUCAAAAAUAACUAGUUUCUAUUGUUGAAAGUAUAUAAUCCAAGAUUGUAUUGUGUUUUUGGAUUGUAUCUGUUAGUGCCUAAGGGAAAACAAAGUAGUGAGUAAGUAUAUUAGAAUAUUUGGACACUUUUUCCAUCUUUCUACAGGUUGUCAAGGUGUCUAUGUCAAAUAAGAUCCACCAGUUCUGCUGUCUAUGUCAGUUGACUAGAUACUUGAGAGAUAAGCUGGAAGGCAAGAAGCUGAUGGCACGUAUCAAAAUAAACAGAGGUGGGUGAUCCACGUAUAGACUAUAAAUGUUGGGACAGGCCUGAAGACAUGAAAGGGAAAAGGCUUGUUGCAGAGACUUUGUUAAAGACAAUAUUGAAGCAGCCGUAUCAGAAUCUGCAUGUCUAAUGCCACCAUGGAGCAGAGCCUCACGUUCAUGCAUAAACAUUCCUUGCCCUCUGAAUGUAGCUUGUUAAUGUAGUUGGCUUGUGUUGAUGGUUUUAUGUCGUUAUAGAAUUAGCCCUCCUCAUUUUGAUGAUGGACAUGUAUUUUGUAGUAUCAGGCAAUAAAUGUAUGCUAAUAUUUUGUGAUUAAUAUAUGAGAAUAUUCCUCUUUGGAUA